UACGGGGGGGGCAAGCGUUGUUCGGAAUUACUGGGCGUAAAGGGCUCGUAGGCGGCCAACUAAGUCCGACGUGAAAUCCCCAGGCUUAACCUGGGAACUGCGUCGGAUACUGGUUGGCUUGAAUCCGGGAGAGGGAUGCGGAAUUCCAGGUGUAGCGGUGAAAUGCGUAGAUAUCUGGAGGAACACCGGUGGCGAAGGCGGCAUCCUGGACCAACACUGACACUGAAAAGCGAAAGCCAGGGGAGCAAACGGG
rnacentral:rRNA from 1 species